GAACGUUAAGGGCAAAGCUGUCAAAAGGCAGCGACGCAAAGCCAUAGGGUCUAACGUGCCUUAGCACUAUGACAGCCUGGCUGCCGAA
rnacentral:ncRNA from 1 species